UAGAAAUCGAUGAAGAGAAAAAGUACGUUUUGUGUCCCUUUUAGCGAGCUGGGUAUGGUGGAAGCCAGUAAGGAAAGCAAACCGGAAAAAUCAUCUCUGAGAUGCAAGGCAGAACCCGAGCAGUUAGUAAGUCUUGACGGAUUUCCACCGUUAAAAGGAACACGUAUGAUAGUACGUUGACUAAGCGCUGUUUGCUUUUUGCCAAACAGAAUUUGGGUGGUAACGCGGGUUAUAAAUAAUACACUCGUCCCUACA
rnacentral:ncRNA from 1 species